rnacentral:rRNA from 1 species
UUCGGGACACGAAUCUAGGUGCUGCAUGGCUGUCGUCAGCUCGUGCCGUGAGGUGUUGGGUUAAGUCCCCGCACGAGCGCAACCCCUAUGUUUAGUUGCCAGCACGUCAAGGUGGGGACUCUAAACAGACUGCCUGUGCAAACAGAGAGGAAGGAGGGGNCGACGUCAAGUCAUCAUGGCCCUUACGUCCGGGGCUACACACGUGCUACAAUGGGCAGUACAGCGGGCAGCUACCUGGCACCAGGAUGNCAAUCUCGUAAAGCCUGUUCACAGUUCGGAUCCGGGGUCUGCAACUCGACCCCGUGAAGUUGCGAAUUCGGCUAGUAAUCGCGUAUCAGCAAUGACGUCGGUGCAAUACGUAUGCGCCGCGAGCCUGUGUACCACUGCCGCCUCGUCAAGUCUCAUGGCAAGUCUNGCGGGUACCUNAAGUGAGCGUAACCGUUAAGGGCGCGUCCUCUAGGUGUAAAAUCGGUACACUGGGUCUAAGUCAGUACCAAGGUA